AUUGAACGCUGGCGGCAGGCCUAACACAUGCAAGUCGAACGAGUGGCGGACGGGUGAGUAAUGUAUGGGAAACUGCCUGAUGUAGGGGGCUACUACUGGAAACGGUAGCUAAUACCUCAUACCAUCGGAUUUGCCCAGCUGGGAUUAGCUUGUUGGCGGGGUAACGGCUCACCAAGGCGACGAUCCCUAGCUGGUCUGAGAGGGUGACCAGCCACACUGGAACUGAGACACGGUCCAGACUCCUACGGGAGGCAGCAGUGGGGAAUAUUGCGCAAUGGGCGCAAGCCUGAUACAGCCAUGCCGCGUGUAUGAAGAAGGCCUUCGGGUUGUAAAGCCCUUUUGUUGGGAAAGCGGUACCCAAAGAGUAAGCAACGGCUAACUUCGUGCCAGCAGCCGCGGUAAUAC
rnacentral:rRNA from 1 species